GACGAACGCUGGCGGCGUGCUUAACACAUGCAAGUCGAACGGUAAGGCCCUUCGGGGUACACGAGUGGCGAACGGGUGAGUAACACGUGGGUGAUCUGCCCUGCACUUCGGGAUAAGCCUGGGAAACUGGGUCUAAUACCGGAUAGGACCACUGCCUGCAUGGGUGGGGGUGUAAAGCUUUUGCGGUGUGGGAUGGGCCCGCGGCCUAUCAGCUUGUCGGGGGGGUUAGGGCCUACCAAGGCGACGAAGGGUAGCCGGCCUGGGAGGGUGGCCGGCCACACUGGGACUGAGGUACGGCCCAGACUCCGACGGGAGGCAGCAGUGGGGAAUAUUGCACAAUGGGCGCAAGCCUGAUGCAGCGACGCCGCGUGAGGGAUGACGGCCUUCGGGUUGUAAACCUCUUUCAGCACCGACGAAGCGCAAGUGACGGUAGGUGCAGAAGAAGGACCGGCCAACUACGUGCCAGCAGCCGCCGUAAUA
rnacentral:rRNA from 1 species